CGCCCAACAGCUAGCCCGCCCAUCAACCCCAAACCUACUCUAUUUAUACCCCCAAAUACACUUCCAACCAACAAACAAACCAUUUUUCCCCCCGAGUACAGGCGACAAAAAAGGAGCCAGGAGCAACAGAGAAAGUACCGCAAGGGAAAGCUGAAAGAGAAAUGAAACAAUCCAGUAAAGCACUAAAAAGCAGAGACUCUUCCUCGUACCUUUUGCAUCAUGUUUUAGCCAGAAAAUCUUAAGCAAAAAGCAUUAUAGUUUAAUACCCCGAAACUAAGCGAGCUACUCCAAGGCAGUCUAAUUUAUAGGACCUCCCCCGUCUCUGUGGCAAAAGAGUGGGAAGAACUUUGAGUAGAGGUGACAGACCUACCGAGCUUAGUUAUAGCUGGUUGCCUAAGAAUUGAAUAAAAGUUCAGCCCUCUAAAUUCUUCAUUCCCCUUGGCCCAAGGCCUUCUCACCGAAUAAAAGAAAUUAAAGGAGUUAGUCAAAGGGGGUACAGCCCCUUUGAAACAAGAUACAACUUUCCAAGAAGGGAAAAGAUCAUAUAAACUUAAAGGUUUAAUGCCCUAGUGGGCCUAAAAGCAGCCAUCUAUACAGAAAGCGUUAAAGCUCGAGCAUUACACAACCAACCUUUCAAUAAAGACAAUACACUCUCACCCCUCUAAAUCUAUUAGGCCAUUCCAUAAAAUUAAUAUGGAAGAGUUUAUGCUAAUAUGAGUAAUAAGAGAACCCCCUUCUCUCCCCGCACAAGUGUAAGCCGGAACGAACCACUCACCGGCCAUUAACGACCCCAAAUACAAGAGGGUCCUAGACAAAAAAUAAAAAACUGGAAAACCAUCUAAUUUUUCAUCGUUACCCCCACACUGGUGUGCCAAUCCGGAAUGACUAAAAGAAAAAGAAGGAACUCGGCAAACCUAAGCCUCGCCUGUUUACCAAAAACAUCGCCUCUUGCUCCCAAAAAUAUAAGAGGUCCCGCCUGCCCUGUGAC
rnacentral:rRNA from 1 species